UACUGGCUAAAGCUUUGUGGAGAGGUUGGCGCUGCCUGUUGCCCAAGUUACCUGCAGCAGUGAGCAUGGACACGGACUUCUUCGAGCCAAAAGAUCUAGCUGGAAAAACAGCAUGCAUUAAGACCAUCAGCCCCAUUUGCAUGGUUCACGCUUAAUUAUGAGUCUUUGGAUCUAACCAGUUACCAGAGACCAGGCUAUGUAUCACUGUGCAAUGAAGAUGUAAGUCAUUACCAGACUGAUGAAGCUCAAAGACUGAAGGGAGAUGCAUAACCACGUUGAACUUCAAUAUGUCAGGUGCAAAGAGAGUCCAUCCAUCUGUUGAGCACAGCCCAAUUAAAUGUCUCCUCAAAUGGUUCCACAGUUUACCAACAGAUCAAGGAGUAGCUGAAAUUAAACAAUAAAUGUGGCCUCCUGAUCACAUUCAAGAUCUAUCUGUAAAAAUACAUUCUUUUACCAAAGCUGCUUUGGCUUAUUACUGUGUAUGAGUUCCCCAUUACAGCUCUUGAGUAUUGAGAGGAGAAUUAACUAGUUCUUAAAGAUUUGGUUGGACAUUCCAUUGAAAUCUUCCUCUAUGGGUCUCUACUUUAUGUCAAGCCAAGUACAACCUCCAUUAUUGUUGGUGUUGGAAGAAUGGUGGGAGUCUUGUACACCAAGGUGAAGUUGCUAAAAGAUCUGGUCGCAAAUGGGAGGGAUAUGCAGCAAUUAAUUAGACCUUAUGCUCUCUGAAAACAAAACUUUGGGAGAAGAGGACACGGAAUUAUGCAUAAACAUGAAAGUCAGGCAAACUAUCAAUGGUAGAACACUGUCAUCUUGAUGGUUAUUGUGCAAUUAGCAUGUCUUUGAUAUAUCAUUUUUAUAAUUGCUAAAACUGCUUAAAGCUGUUAAUCAAUAACAAGUUUCAAAAGUCUAAUGAAAAGUUUUUAUAUUGAAUGAAAGUUUGAAGUAAGAUGAGGUUGUAAGAUUGCAUGGGGUCACAAGCAAAUACACACAAAUUCAUUCAUUCAUUCAACCGGGUGUCUCUGGUUAUGCUAAAAUGCUACAUCCUCUUACAAAUGAGCUCUGCAUGACAUAA